rnacentral:rRNA from 1 species
UACAGAGGGGGCAAGCGUUGUUCGGAAUUACUGGGCGUAAAGAGUGCGCAGGCGGUCGUUCAAGUCGAGUGUGAAAGCCCCCGGCUCAACUGGGGAGGGUCACUCGAUACUGAUCGACUUGAAGGCAGGAGAGGGAAGCGGAAUUCCCGGUGUAGUGGUGAAAUGCGUAGAUAUCGGGAGGAACACCAGUGGCGAAGGCGGCUUCCUGGCCUGUUCUUGACGCUGAGGCGCGAAAGCUAGGGGAGCAAACGGG